GUUUUUGGUUGGAGAUCCCUCUUUUGUGGAGUUUUUCCCUUUGAGCCCAACUCUUCAGAUAUGGGACAGAAACUGUAGAACUUUCUCACUGGUGAUGCAAGAAGCAAAUGUGGACUUCUUUUGAAUGUAAUAUUGUAAAUGGCAAGAACUAUGCUGGAGAAGUGGGGGAUGUGUAGUACCUGGAAAGCUUAAGGCAGGAGAGGCUGUUGCUGCUGACCCACGCUGGUGUUUGGAACUUUGAAGCUGUUCAUCUAUACAGUGCCUCAUCUGCCUUAGAAGCUCUCAAACACUUUGGGCAAUGGAUCUCAACAGGGUAUAAUCUGAGAUUAAAUGAGAAGGGAUCAUAUUCCGUUGGUGGAACAAGCACAGAAAUUGUGUGUUUGUAGAACAUGCAGUGGUUCUAGUUUUGGGUACUUGGGUCACUUCAGAACACAGUAUGACUUUCGUUCUGCUCCUGUACUGUUAUCUCAUGUUUCUGUUCUCUAUGUCAAGAGGACAGAACAUAUUGGUAAACAGAGCAUCUUGUUAUCUACAGUGGGAAAGAUAAAUCUGUAGUGUUGUAACACAGACAGCUAAGGCUUGCUUAGCAUCAAUAAUCACAAACAAUAUCUGUCAACGAGAAAUCACACACAAAAGAAGUCUUCUACCUGCAGCUGGAAGACAUAGUGGUUUACUGUCCCAGCAUUGAACUACAGAUGGAAACGGAGCACUGUAUACAAAAUGGUACAGGCAGAGAUAAAUGAGGUGGUAUUGUAAUAAGAACAUACUUAGACUAAA